rnacentral:snRNA from 1 species
UCAAUUUUAUCGGAUGUCAUGGAAUUGGAACGAUACAGAGAAGAUUAGCAUGGACCCUGCGCAGGAAUGACGCUCACAAAUCGAGAAUUGGCCAAGAAGGAG